GAUCUCAUGGUUGGGAUCGAGACUCAAGAUUGAUGUCGAGGUUGAAAUCUUAGGCUCGAUCUCAAUUUCAUGUUUGGAUCUCGAGGCUUGAAUCAACAUUAAUUAGUGUUGGCCAAAAGAUAUGACGACCUUAAGAAAUUGAUCGGGAUAACCACGUACAACAUAGAUCCGUACAGCCAAAAAUGAGAAUAAAUAUCACUUGUACUCCUAAAAAGAUUUGCACAAUAUCUAGUUUACAAAAAUUAUUUUAAUUAACAUAUCUUCUAGUACUAUUGUCAAACAUAAUCAUUUUAGUUAUCACUAUUUUCUUCAUUUAGGUAAUUGCGUUUUGUAUUAAGUAACAAAAUAUUAAAAAAAUUCUCUUAAUAGAUCUUUGCAUUUCAUCUAUUUUUAUUUGAUUUUUUUGCAGUAGCC
rnacentral:lncRNA from 1 species